rnacentral:rRNA from 1 species
UGUUAGAGCAAUCGAAGCAGUGAACUUAAGCCCCAGUAAACGGCGGCCGUAACUAUAACGGUCCUAAGGUAGCGAAAUUCCUUGUCGGGUAAGUUCCGACCCGCACGAAAGGCGUAACGAUUUGGGCACUGUCUCAACAACAGACUCGGUGAAAUUGUAAUUCCGGUGAAGAUGCCGGAUACCUGCGACAGGACGGAAAGACCCCAUGGAGCUUUACUGUAGCUUGACAUUGGGUCUUGGUACUACAUGUACAGGAUAGGUGGGAGGCUUUGAAACCAGGACGCCAGUUUUGGCGGAGCCAUCCUUGGGAUACCACCCUUGUAGUACUGGGACUCUAACCAUAGGCCAUGAAUCUGGUCUUGGGACACUGUCAGGUGGGCAGUUUGACUGGGGCGGUCGCCUCCCAAAAGGUAACGGAGGCGCUCAAAGGUUCUCUCAGUACGGUCGGAAAUCGUACGUAGAGUGUAAAGGCAAAAGAGAGCUUGAUUGCAAGACAUACAGGUCGAGCAAGGAUGAAAAUCGGACUUAGUGAUCCGGUGGUUCUGCGUGGAAGGGCCAUCGCUCAACGGAUAAAAGCUACCCUGGGGAUAACAGGCUUAUCUCCCCCAAGAGUCCACAUCGACGGGGAGGUUUGGCACCUCGAUGUCGGCUCAUCACAUCCUGGGGCUGUAGUAGGUCCCAAGGGUUGGGCUGUUCGCCCAUUAAAGUGGUACGCGAGCUGGGUUCAGAACGUCGUGAGACAGUUCGGUCCCUAUCCGUCGCAGGCGUAGGAAAUUUGAGAAGACCUGUCCUUAGUACGAGAGGACCGGGAUGGACG